GAUGAACGCUAGCGACAGGCUUAACACAUGCAAGUCGAGGGGCAGCGGGGGUAGCAAUACCCGCCGGCGACCGGCGCACGGGUGAGUAACGCGUAUGCAACUUACCUAUCAGAGGGGGAUAACCCGGCGAAAGUCGGACUAAUACCGCAUGAAGCAGGGGCCCCGCAUGGGGAUAUUUGCUAAAGAUUCAUCGCUGAUAGAUAGGCAUGCGUUCCAUUAGGCAGUUGGCGGGGUAACGGCCCACCAAACCGACGAUGGAUAGGGGUUCUGAGAGGAAGGUCCCCCACAUUGGUACUGAGACACGGACCAA
rnacentral:rRNA from 1 species